rnacentral:rRNA from 1 species
UACGUAGGGGGCAAGCGUUGUCCGGAUUUAUUGGGCGUAAAGAGCGUGUAGGCGGCCAGGUAGGUCCGCUGUGAAAACUCGAGGCUUAACCUCGAGCUGUCGGUGGAAACCAUCUGGCUAGAGUCCGGAAGAGGAGAACGGAAUUCCCGGUGUAGCGGUGAAAUGCGCAGAUAUCGGGAAGAACACCCGUGGCGAAGGCGGCUCUCUGGGACGGUACUGGACGCUGGA